ACCAGAGAUCUGAGAAUCUUGAUUUGCAGAAGACCUGAAAGGGUGUCCAUUUUGAAUCAAGGGUUUGGUGAAUGACAAAGUUCUCAACUUUUGGUUUCUACUACCAAGAUUUGGUUGAAAAGGUGAAGGGCUAACAGGAUAGUUAGGACGGGAUUUGGAGAGAGUGACAUUAGUGGAUGGAAGAAGAUUUAAAGUAAGCAUCUUUGAAUGAAAACACAAGAUUAAGAUUCUGAAACACAAAAAAAAAAGCAGAAACUUUAAAGA
rnacentral:misc_RNA from 1 species